rnacentral:rRNA from 1 species
GAUGAACGCUGGCGGCGUGCCUAAUACAUGCAAGUCGAGCGAACAGACGAGGAGUUUGCUCCUCUGACGUUAGCGGCGGACGGGUGAGUAACACGUGGAUAACCUACCUAUCAGACUGGGAUAACUUCGGGAAACCGGAGCUAAUACCGGAUAAUAUAUUGAACCGCAUGGUUCAAUAGUGAAAGACGGUUUUGCUGUCACCUAUAGAUGGAUCCGCGCCGCAUUAGCUAGUUGGUAAGGUAACGGCUUACCAAGGCGACGAUGCGUAGCCGACCUGAGCGCGUGUUCGGCCACACUGGAACUGAGACACGGUCCAGACUCCUACGGGAGGCAGCAGUAGGGAAUCUUCCGCAAUGGGCGAAAGCCUGACGGAGCAGCGCCGCGUGAGUGAUGAAGGUCUUCGGAUCGUAAAACUCUGUUAUUAGGGAAGAACAAAUGUGUAAGUAACUAUGCGCGUCUUGACGGUACCUAAUCAGAAAGCCCCGGCUAACUACGUG